AUUGAACGCUGGCGGCAGGCCUAACACAUGCAAGUCGAACGAGUGGCGGACGGGUGAGUAAUGUAUGUGAAAAUGCAUGAUGGAGGGGGAUAAGUACUGGAAACUGUAGCUAAUACCGAAUACCAGCGGAUGUGCCCAGAUGGGAUUAGCUUGUAGUUGGGGUAAAGGCUCACCACGGCGACGAUCCCUAGCUGGUCUGAGAGGAUGACCAUCCACACUGGAACUGAGACACGGUCCAGACUCCUACGGGAGGCAGCAGUGGGGAAUAUUGCACAAUGGGCGCAAGCCUGAUGCAGCCAUGCCGCGUGUAUGAAGAAGGCCUUCGGGUUGUAAAGCACUUUCAGCGGGGAGGCGUUACCCGCAGAAGAAGCACCGGCUAACUCCGUGCCAGCAGCCGCGGUAAUAC
rnacentral:rRNA from 1 species